rnacentral:tRNA from 3 species
GUGUAGCUCAGCUGGCUAGAGCGUACGGUUCAUACCCGUGAGGUCGGGGGUUCGAUCCCCUCCACCGCCA